rnacentral:rRNA from 1 species
AUUGAACGCUGGCGGCAGGCCUAACACAUGCAAGUCGAGCGGAUGAAGGGAGCUUGCUCCUGGAUUCAGCGGCGGACGGGUGAGUAAUGCCUAGGAAUCUGCCUGGUAGUGGGGGAUAACGUCCGGAAACGGGCGCUAAUACCGCAUACGUCCUGAGGGAGAAAGUGGGGGAUCUUCGGACCUCACGCUAUCAGAUGAGCCUAGGUCGGAUUAGCUAGUUGGUGGGGUAAAGGCCUACCAAGGCGACGAUUCGUAACUGGUCUGAGAGGAUGAUCAGUCACACUGGAACUGAGACACGGUCCAGACUCCUACGGGAGGCAGCAGUGGGGAAUAUUGGACAAUGGGCGAAAGCCUGAUCCAGCCAGGCCGCGUGUGUGAAGAAGGUCUUCGGAGUGUAAAGCACUUUAAGUUGGGAGGAAGGGCAGUAAGUUAAUACCUUGCUGUUUUGACGUUACCAACAGAAUAAGCACCGGCUAACUUCGUG